UACAGAGGUCUCAAGCGUUGUCCGGAUUUACUGGGCGUAAAGAGCGCGCAGGCGGUCGUUCAAGUCGCGUGUGAAAGCCCCCGGCUCAACUGGGGAGGGUCACGCGAUACUGAUCGACUCGAAGGCAGGAGAGGGAAGUGGAAUUCCCGGUGUAGUGGUGAAAUGCGUAGAUAUCGGGAGGAACACCUGUGGCGAAAGCGGCGCACUGGACCACAACUGACGCUGAGGCGCGAAAGCUAGGGGAGCAAACAGG
rnacentral:rRNA from 1 species